CGGCGGACGGGUGAGUAACGCGUGGGUAACCUACCCUGUACACACGGAUAACAUACCGAAAGGUAUGCUAAUACGGGAUAAUAUAUUUGAGAGGCAUCUCUUAAAUAUCAAAGGUGAGCCAGUACAGGAUGGACCCGCGUCUGAUUAGCUAGUUGGUAAGGUAACGGCUUACCAAGGCGACGAUCAGUAGCCGACCUGAGAGGGUGAUCGGCCACAUUGGAACUGAGACACGGUCCAG
rnacentral:rRNA from 1 species